rnacentral:rRNA from 1 species
UACGGAGGGUGCAAGCGUUAUCCGGAUUCACUGGGUUUAAAGGGUGCGUAGGCGGGCAGGUAAGUCAGGGGUGAAAUCUUCGAGCUUAACUCGGAAACUGCCUUUGAUACUAUCUGUCUUGAAUAUUGUGGAGGUAAGCGGAAUAUGUCAUGUAGCGGUGAAAUGCUUAGAUAUGACAUAGAACACCUAUUGCGAAGGCAGCUUACUACGCAUAUAUUGACGCUGAGGCACGAAAGCGUGGGGAUCAAACAGG